AUGACGGCGGCCAGCCUCCUCCGCCGCCUCCUCCCCAGAUCGCCGCCGGCGCCAGAGCAGAAAGGCAAAGAUCCCCUCGUAUGCAGCCCCCCCGUCCUCCCGCGCGACUCCGUGGCAUGCAGUUGCUUGCGCCGCCUCCUCUUCCUCUCCGACCCCCAAUUCCGACGCUGCUCCCGCAUCCGCCACCGCCGCGGCCCUCCCUUCCUCGGUUUCUUCAUCGACCACGGCGGCGACAGCGACAGCGACGACGACGGCGACGACGACGACAGCGGCGACGACGACAACGACGACGGCGACGAUGGCUACAGCAUCACCUUCGAGCCUGCUCCGGGCGCCCCCUACCGCCUCCCCCGCGGACUCUUCUCCUUGGAGCUCGACGGCUGCUACAUGGCCCUAGGAUGGCGCCACGGCCUCGGGCUCUUCUUCCACAAGAUCCGGUUCGAGGUCCUGGUGUGGGAUCCCGUCGCCGGCCACCAGCGCCUCCUGGCCGUUCCCCCGGAUUUCGAGUUCCAGGGGGGCAAGGGUGAUAUCAGCGGGGCGGUGCUUCGCGCCGCCGGAGACGCCGACCACUUCCGGGUGGUCAUGGUAGGCAGCAACGGGAAGCAGCCUAGAGCAGUGCUCGCCUGCGUUUACUCGUCGGAGACCGGCGCAUGGGGCGAUUUCAUCUCGGCGCCGCUUCCAUCCGAGGGUUUGUUCAUUUUCAGGUCCCAGCCCGCUGUGCUGGCAGGGGAUUGCCUUCACUGGUCGCUUACCAUGGCGGGUUCGAGAAGUAUCCUCAAGUUUGAUUUGAACAGGAAGAGCCUAGAUCUGAGGCUGCUGCCAGGGGAUUAUUACACCCCGCUCAGUCCUGUCAAAUUCGCGGUUAUGCGAGCAGAGGGUGGUGGGAUGGGUUUCCUCUUCUUAUUCGGCUUUACCGCCGAAUUAUGGAGUCUGAAUCCCAAUCGCGACGGUGUUAUGAUAUGGGAGCCAGGGAGAAGUAUUGAGCUGGACAAGUUACUUCGACUAAAUCCAAAGAAAGAUCCCCCACAGGUGAUAGGGUAUGCCGAGGAAAACAAUGUGGUGUUCUUCUGGACAGUUGUUGGUGUCUUCAUGGUCCAUCUCGAGUCAUGGCGGUUCAAGAAGCUCUCUAAGACUAGUCUCGAUUCUUGGUACCAUCCAUUUGAAAUUGCCUAUACUCCAGGCAUUGGUGGUGGACACGAUGGAGCUAAAGUUGUGAGUCAUUGGUGGAUGACACGAUGGGCACGAUACACAAAGCAAUUGUUCAGUUAG
rnacentral:rRNA from 1 species